CCUACGGGAGGCAGCAGUAAGGAAUAUUGGUCAAUGGAGGCAACUCUGAACCAGCCAUGCCGCGUGCAGGAUGACGGCCCUAUGGGUUGUAAACUGCUUUUAUACAAGAGAAAACCCUGGUACGUGUACCGGGUUGAUAGUAUUGUAAGAAUAAGCAUCGGCUAACUUCGUGCCAGCAGCCGCGGUAAGACGAAGGAUGCAAGCGUUAUCCGGAUUCAUUGGGUUUAAAGGGUGCGUAGGCGGACUGAUAAGUCAGUGGUGAAAUCUCUUUGCUUAACAAAGAAACUGCCAUUGAUACUGUCGGUCUAGAGUAUAGAUGACGUUGGCGGAAUAUGACAUGUAGUGGUGAAAUACUUAGAUAUGUCAUAGAACACCGAUUGCGAAGGCAGCUAACGAAACUAUAACUGACGCUGAGGCACGAAAGUGCGGGGAUCAAACAGGAUUAGAUACCCUGGUAGUCCGCACCGUAAACGAUGAUUACUCGUUGUUGGCGAUAUGACAGUCAGCGACCAAGCGAAAGCGAUAAGUAAUCCACCUGGGGAGUACGCCGGCAACGGUGAAACUCAAAGGAAUUGACGG
rnacentral:rRNA from 1 species